ACAGAUAAAUGUUGCAUCAUGUGAUGGAAAAUGCCCAUCUGCUACCAUAUAUAACAUCAACGUUGAAAGUCACCUAAGAUUCUGCAAAUGUUGUCGUGAAAAUGGAGUACGAAACUUGACUGUGCCUCUGUAUUGCUCAGGAAAUGGCACUGAAAUUAUGUACACUCUCCAGGAACCUAUAGACUGCACAUGCCAGUGGAAUUAAAAUCUUGGAUUCCAAGAACUCUGUACAUCAUAAUGUCAAAUUCAGUUAAAUUUUAUGACCAUUAUUUAGGCACUUGGCAGACUUACACUGUUUGACAAUAAUGUGUUUUUAAGACUACUGGGAUUUGAUGAUUUUAUAGUUGGUACAAAAUAUAUACAGCUCCAAGGGCAAAUAUCAGAUUUAUUAGAUUUAUUGCUUCAUUUUAGAGAAUCAAAUGAUCAUAAAUUGUUCAGUUGAAAUGCUAUUAUGUUUAUAACUGCAGCACGGCACAAAUCUGGAAUGGUUCCAUUAAAUAGAAGGCUAUUUUGCAGAAUUCCUUCAGUUUCAC
rnacentral:lncRNA from 1 species